rnacentral:rRNA from 1 species
CAUGGAGGGUGAGAAUCCCGUUCAUGGUUAAUCUUAAGGAAGCUCUACGAUACGUUUUCCAAGAGUCGAGUUGUUUGGGAUUGCAGCUCAAAAUGGGAGGUAAAUUUCUCCUAAGGCUAAAUAUUGGCGAGAGACCGAUAGCGAACAAGUACCGUGAGGGAAAGAUGAAAAGAACUUUGAAAAGAGAGUUAAACAGUACGUGAAAUUGUUGAAAGGGAAACGAUUGAAGUCAGUCAUACCAACGGGAAAUCAACCUUUUGAGCUCGGUCUCGUGGGUUUUGAAGAGUUUCAAAGCCUUCGGAUUCGCGGGAUUGGGAUCUCUUGGCGUACUUUCUCGUACGGUUAGUCAACAUCGGUUUUGAAUGUCAUAAAAUGACUGGAGGAAUGUAGCUUCGAUCUCGUAUUGAAGUGUUAUAGCCUUUGGUAGAUGUGAUGUUUGAGACCGAGGAUUGCAACGGAUACCCUUCAGGGCUAUUCGUCUGAUCUCUGAUACGUUGCCUUGAUGUUGAAAGCUUGCUUAUGAUGUUAGGGUAUUACGGUCAAAAGGUUAGAACGAAUUACAUUCGUUAAGGAUGUUGACGUAAUGG